GCCAGACUGAAGCAGCGCCGUUGUGAAGGUGGGCGCCAUCAUCUUGUCUUUGCAGUGCUGAUUCUGAAGAGAACGCCUUCACAUAGGACUCAAAGGAAAUCAAUGUCCAAAGGAAACAGCAGUCCAGACUCUGAUUCCAGCUCCGAUGCCCUCAGAUUCAGAUCCAUCAGCAACCCCUGACAACAUGGAGGACUCGUCCCCUGAGCGUUUCCUGUCCUCUCUCGAUGGAGUUUUUCUCUUUAGUCAUUAACUCUUGAAAACAGUAGCACAAAAUGCCAGACUGUUUGACAAGUGUGUGAUUGAAUAAAUUGAAAUGGAAUCUCAUGCAUAUCUUGCUAUGCUUAUUGGCUUUAAAUGUUUAAUGUUAAAUAAGUUUGAAGGCCAUCUAUCUUAGACGAGACCGGCUGUGACAAGCUGAGCUCAUCUGUUAGCUUUGCUGUUGUCUCAGCUGUUGUUGGUCAAGAAGAAAUUAAUGUCAGUUCAAGGCCUUUUCAAAUGUGAACUAUAAACUUAACUGCUAAAUUAUUUUACUGUGACCAACACUUUGUAGUGCUCCAGAUAAUCAGAGACAGUCAUAUCAGAUUUUUAAAAAGUUUAUUUAAACAUUUUAUGAAAAAAAAUCUUCAAUAAACAACCCCUGGCUUCAUU